UACAGAGGUCUCGAGCGUUGUUCGGAUUCAUUGGGCGUAAAGGGCGCGUAGGCGGCGGGGUAAGUCUGGUGUGAAAUCUCGGAGCUCAACUCCGAAAUUGCACUGGAUACUGCUCUGCUAGAGGGCUGGAGAGGAGAUCGGAAUUCACGGUGUAGCAGUGAAAUGCGUAGAUAUCGUGAGGAAGACCAGUGGCGAAGGCGGAUCUCUGGACAGCUCCUGACGCUGAGGCGCGAAGGCUAGGGAGCAAACGGG
rnacentral:rRNA from 1 species